UUUGUAACACACACCCGCCGUCACAACCAUGAAGGCUCACCUAAGUCAUUACUCCACAUCGUGGGGGAGGAUGCCUAAGCAGUGCUGGUGACUGGGGUGAAGUCGUAACAAGGUAGCCGUACCGGAAAGGUGUGGCUGGAUCACCUCCUUUUAAAGGGAGACCUACCCAACUCUGAUAUCGAUUGCAGAGAGUAAAUAGAUACAGAGAAGGUUAUUCCGAGGUCGUUCGCAGAACUUGAUGGGGCUUUCAAACUAUAUUUGGUUCUUAUGGGCUAUUAGCUCAGGUGGUUAGAGCGCACCCCUGAUAAGGGUGAGGUCCCUGGUUCGAGUCCAGGAUGGCCCACCUGAAAGAAUUAAAAAUGAAAGAUUAAAAAUUAAACAAAUUAUUUUUAAUUCUCAGUUUUUAAUUUUCUGGGGGUUUAGCUCAGUUGGUAGAGCGCCUGCUUUGCAAGCAGGAUGUCAGCGGUUCGAGUCCGCUAACCUCCACCUGUAGCGUCAGCUAACGACAUAAAGGAUAAAAUUCAGCAACGUGACAGAUGAAACAGAAGUCAGACUGCUGGGUUUUUAUCUCAGCCAGAACCUUGAAAACUGCAUAGUAACGCGAAAUUAGCAGGCAGACACAGACAUUGAAAUGUUGGUCCAUGUGAAUAGUUCGGUACUAGCAGC
rnacentral:misc_RNA from 1 species